UUAAGUUAUUAAGGGCGCACGGUGGAUGCCUUGGCACUAGAAGCCGAUGAAGGACGUUACUAACGACGAUAUGCUUUGGGGAGCUGUAAGUAAGCUUUGAUCCAGAGAUUUCCGAAUGGGGAAACCCAGCAUGAGUUAUGUCAUGUUAUCGAUAUGUGAAUACAUAGCAUAUCAGAAGGCACACCCGGAGAACUGAAACAUCUUAGUACCCGGAGGAAGAGAAAGAAAAUUCGAUUCCCUUAGUAGCGGCGAGCGAAACGGGAAGAGCCCAAACCAACAAGCUUGCUUGUUGGGGUUGUAGGACACUCUAUACGGAGUUACAAAGGACGACAUUAGACGAAUCAUCUGGAAAGAUGAAUCAAAGAAGGUAAUAAUCCUGUAGUCGAAAAUGUUGUCUCUCUUGAGUGGAUCCUGAGUACGACGGAGCACGUGAAAUUCCGUCGGAAUCUGGGAGGACCAUCUCCUAAGGCUAAAUACUCUCUAGUGACCGAUAGUGAACCAGUACCGUGAGGGAAAGGUGAAAAGCACCCCGGAAGGGGAGUGAAAUAGAACCUGAAACCGUGUGCUUACAAGUAGUCAGAGCCCGUUAAUGGGUGAUGGCGUGCCUUUUGUAGAAUGAACCGGCGAGUUACGAUUUGAUGCAAGGUUAAGCAGUAAAUGUGGAGCCGUAGCGAAAGCGAGUCUGAAUAGGGCGUUUAGUAUUUGGUCGUAGACCCGAAACCAGGUGAUCUACCCUUGGUCAGGUUGAAGUUCAGGUAACACUGAAUGGAGGACCGAACCGACUUACGUUGAAAAGUGAGCGGAUGAACUGAGGGUAGCGGAGAAAUUCCAAUCGAACCUGGAGAUAGCUGGUUCUCUCCGAAAUAGCUUUAGGGCUAGCCUCAAGUGAUGAUUAUUGGAGGUAGAGCACUGUUUGGACGAGGGGCCCCUCUCGGGUUACCGAAUUCAGACAAACUCCGAAUGCCAAUUAAUUUAACUUGGGAGUCAGAACAUGGGUGAUAAGGUCCGUGUUCGAAAGGGAAACAGCCCAGACCACCAGCUAAGGUCCCAAAAUAUAUGUUAAGUGGAAAAGGAUGUGGCGUUGCCCAGACAACUAGGAUGUUGGCUUAGAAGCAGCCAUCAUUUAAAGAGUGCGUAAUAGCUCACUAGUCGAGUGACACUGCGCCGAAAAUGUACCGGGGCUAAACAUAUUACCGAAGCUGUGGAUUGUCCUUUGGACAAUGGUAGGAGAGCGUUCUAAGGGCGUUGAAGCAUGAUCGUAAGGACAUGUGGAGCGCUUAGAAGUGAGAAUGCCGGUGUGAGUAGCGAAAGACGGGUGAGAAUCCCGUCCACCGAUUGACUAAGGUUUCCAGAGGAAGGCUCGUCCGCUCUGGGUUAGUCGGGUCCUAAGCUGAGGCCGACAGGCGUAGGCGAUGGAUAACAGGUUGAUAUUCCUGUACCACCUAUAAUCGUUUUAAUCGAUGGGGGGACGCAGUAGGAUAGGCGAAGCGUGCGAUUGGAUUGCACGUCUAAGCAGUAAGGCUGAGUAUUAGGCAAAUCCGGUACUCGUUAAGGCUGAGCUGUGAUGGGGAGAAGACAUUGUGUCUUCGAGUCGUUGAUUUCACACUGCCGAGAAAAGCCUCUAGAUAGAAAAUAGGUGCCCGUACCGCAAACCGACACAGGUAGUCAAGAUGAGAAUUCUAAGGUGAGCGAGCGAACUCUCGUUAAGGAACUCGGCAAAAUGACCCCGUAACUUCGGGAGAAGGGGUGCUCUUUAGGGUUAACGCCCAGAAGAGCCGCAGUGAAUAGGCCCAAGCGACUGUUUAUCAAAAACACAGGUCUCUGCUAAACCGUAAGGUGAUGUAUAGGGGCUGACGCCUGCCCGGUGCUGGAAGGUUAAGAGGAGUGGUUAGCUUCUGCGAAGCUACGAAUCGAAGCCCCAGUAAACGGCGGCCGUAACUAUAACGGUCCUAAGGUAGCGAAAUUCCUUGUCGGGUAAGUUCCGACCCGCACGAAAGGCGUAACGAUUUGGGCACUGUCUCAACGAGAGACUCGGUGAAAUCAUAGUACCUGUGAAGAUGCAGGUUACCCGCGACAGGACGGAAAGACCCCGUGGAGCUUUACUGUAGCCUGAUAUUGAAAUUCGGCACAGCUUGUACAGGAUAGGUAGGAGCCUUUGAAACGUGAGCGCUAGCUUACGUGGAGGCGCUGGUGGGAUACUACCCUAGCUGUGUUGGCUUUCUAACCCGCACCACUUAUCGUGGUGGGAGACAGUGU
rnacentral:rRNA from 1 species